AUUUAUCAGUUUCAAGGCUGAUAUUAGCAAGAUGGAAUCAAACAAUCUGAUUUUAGGAAUACGCAAAUUAGGGUUUAGGGUUUCAAUUCGAAAUUAGGGUUUUAUCAUUCAAUCAGCUUCUAGCAAAUAAUCUUAAACCUCAGAACAUUUGAUUAUAUCAUGAAACUAUCAACCUAGUAUAAUAUGAAACCUCAAAACAUUCAAUUCGGAUUAUGCAAUACACAGAUUCUAUUUUAGGGUUUAUCAAUUUCAAUUUUAACAAUCAAACAACAUUCAAUCAAAACAUUCAAUUCUCAAAACAAUCAAACCGAUUUUGA
rnacentral:lncRNA from 1 species